GCAGCAGUAANUAAUAUUAGGCAAUCGGCGAAAGCCCGACCUAGUUAUAAUUAAGAGGGUUGGUAAAAUUCGUGCCAGCGACCGCGGUUAUACGAAUAACCCGAAAUAACAGCAACGGCGUAAAUAUGACUAGAGAUUAGGGAAAAGACUAAGACCUGCAGUAAAAUGCCAAGUCUAAACAAAUUCCCCCUUGCCCUAAAAUCCUUGACUCAUGAAAGCCAAGAAACAAACUAGGAUUAGAUACCCUACUAUGCUUGGCAGAAACAAGGCAUUAGCCCGCCAGAUAAUUACGAGUGAAAACUUAAAAUUCAAAGGACUUGACGGUGUCCCACACACAACCUAGAGGAGCCUGUCCUAUAAUCGAUAAUCCACGAUAGACCCUACCACUUUUUGCCAAACAAUCUAUAUACCGCCGUCGAAAGUUCACCUUUUGAAAGGAGAGAAGUGAACAAAAAAGACCCCGCUAACAUGACAGGUCAAGGUGUAGUAAAUAAAGUGGCCAGAGAUGGGCUACUCUUCCUUAAAAAGGAGAGACGAACAGCCUAAUG
rnacentral:rRNA from 1 species